GACUCGUCACACUAUCAUUAACUGAAUCCAUAGGUUAAUGAGGCGAACCGGGGGAACUGAAACAUCUAAGUACCCCGAGGAAAAGAAAUCAACCGAGAUUCCCCCAGUAGCGGCGAGCGAACGGGGAGGAGCCCAGAGCCUGAAUCAGCAUGUGUGUUAGUGGAAGCGUCUGGAAAGGCGCGCGAUACAGGGUGACAGCCCCGUACACAAAAGCGCAUGUGCUGUGAGCUCGAUGAGUAGGGCGGGACACGUGGUAUCCUGUCUGAAUAUGGGGGGACCAUCCUCCAAGGCUAAAUACUCCUGACUGACCGAUAGUGAACCAGUACCGUGAGGGAAAGGCGAAAAGAACCCCGGCGAGGGGAGUGAAAAAGAACCUGAAACCGUGUACGUACAAGCAGUGGGAGCCCCACCACUAAGCCAGUGGUGAACUCCACAUACGCAUCCUUUGCUGAGGAUACGGUUAACGGAGCGAAAGCGACGUUCAACCGCAAAAGAAGCAGAGGGGGCUUAGUGGUGGGGUGACUGCGUACCUUUUGUAUAAUGGGUCAGCGACUUAUAUUCUGUAGCAAGGUUAACCGAAUAGGGGAGCCGGAGGGAAACCGAGUCUUAACCGGGCGUUAAGUUGCAGGGUAUAGACCCGAAACCCGGUGAUCUAGCCAUGGGCAGGUUGAAGGUUGGGUAACACUAACUGGAGGACCGAACCGACUAAUGUUGAAAAAUUAGCGGAUGACCUGUGGCUGGGGGUGAAAGGCCAAUCAAACCGGGAGAUAGCUGGUUCUCCCCGAAAGCUAUUUAGGUAGCGCCUCGUGAAUUCAUCUCCGGGGGUAGAGCACUGUUUCGGCUAGGGGGCCAUCCCGGCUUACCAACCCGAUGCAAACUGCGAAUACCGGAGAAUGUUAUCACGGGAGACACACGGCGGGUGCUAACGUCCGUCGUGAAGAGGGAAACAACCCAGACCGCCAGCUAAGGUCCCAAAGUCAUGGUUAAGUGGGAAACGAUGUGGGAAGGCCCAGACAGCCAGGAUGUUGGCUUAGAAGCAGCCAUCAUUUAAAGAAAGCGUAAUAGCUCACUGGUCGAGUCGGCCUGCGCGGAAGAUGUAACGGGGCUAAACCAUGCACCGAAGCUGCGGCAGCGACGCUGAUGCGUUGUUGGGUAGGGGAGCGUUCUGUAAGCCUGCGAAGGUGGCCUGUGAGGGUUGCUGGAGGUAUCAGAAGUGCGAAUGCUGACAUAAGUAACGAUAAAGCGGGUGAAAAGCCCGCUCGCCGGAAGACCAAGGGUUCCUGUCCAACGUUAAUCGGGGCAGGGUGAGUCGACCCCUAAGGCGAGGCCGAAAGGCGUAGUCGAUGGGAAACGGGUUAAUAUUCCCGUACUUGGUGUUACUGCGAAGGGGGGACGGAGAAGGCUAUGUUGGCCGGGCGACGGUUGUCCCGGUUUAAGCGUGUAGGUGUGUGUUCCAGGUAAAUCCGGUUCACUUUAACACUGAGGCGUGAUGACGAGGCACUACGGUGCUGAAGCAACAAAUGCCCUGCUUCCAGGAAAAGCCUCUAAGCAUCAGGUAACAUCAAAUCGUACCCCAAACCGACACAGGUGGUCAGGUAGAGAAUACCAAGGCGCUUGAGAGAACUCGGGUGAAGGAACUAGGCAAAAUGGUGCCGUAACUUCGGGAGAAGGCACGCUGACACGUAGGUGAAGUGAUUUACUCAUGGAGCUGAAGUCAGUCGAAGAUACCAGCUGGCUGCAACUGUUUAUUAAAAACACAGCACUGUGCAAACACGAAAGUGGACGUAUACGGUGUGACGCCUGCCCGGUGCCGGAAGGUUAAUUGAUGGGGUCAGCGCAAGCGAAGCUCCUGAUCGAAGCCCCGGUAAACGGCGGCCGUAACUAUAACGGUCCUAAGGUAGCGAAAUUCCUUGUCGGGUAAGUUCCGACCUGCACGAAUGGCGUAAUGAUGGCCAGGCUGUCUCCACCCGAGACUCAGUGAAAUUGAACUCGCUGUGAAGAUGCAGUGUACCCGCGGCAAGACGGAAAGACCCCGUGAACCUUUACUAUAGCUUGACACUGAACAUUGAGCCUUGAUGUGUAGGAUAGGUGGGAGGCUUUGAAGUGUGGACGCCAGUCUGCAUGGAGCCGACCUUGAAAUACCACCCUUUAAUGUUUGAUGUUCUAACGUGGACCCGUGAUCCGGGUUGCGGACAGUGUCUGGUGGGUAGUUUGACUGGGGCGGUCUCCUCCUAAAGAGUAACGGAGGAGCACGAAGGUUGGCUAAUCCUGGUCGGACAUCAGGAGGUUAGUGCAAUGGCAUAAGCCAGCUUGACUGCGAGCGUGACGGCGCGAGCAGGUGCGAAAGCAGGUCAUAGUGAUCCGGUGGUUCUGAAUGGAAGGGCCAUCGCUCAACGGAUAAAAGGUACUCCGGGGAUAACAGGCUGAUACCGCCCAAGAGUUCAUAUCGACGGCGGUGUUUGGCACCUCGAUGUCGGCUCAUCACAUCCUGGGGCUGAAGUAGGUCCCAAGGGUAUGGCUGUUCGCCAUUUAAAGUGGUACGCGAGCUGGGUUUAGAACGUCGUGAGACAGUUCGGUCCCUAUCUGCCGUGGGCGCUGGAGAACUGAGGGGGGCUGCUCCUAGUACGAGAGGACCGGAGUGGACGCAUCACUGGUGUUCGGGUUGUCAUGCCAAUGGCACUGCCCGGUAGCUAAAUGCGGAAGAGAUAAGUGCUGAAAGCAUCUAAGCACGAAACUUGCCCCGA
rnacentral:rRNA from 1 species